rnacentral:misc_RNA from 1 species
CGUAACAAGGUCUCCGUUGGUGAACCAGCGGAGGGAUCAUUACCGAGUUUACAACUCCCAAACCCCUGUGAACAUACCAAUUGUUGCCUCGGCGGAUCAGCCCGCUCCCGGUAAAACGGGACGGCCCGCCAGAGGACCCCUAAACUCUGUUUCUAUAUGUAACUUCUGAGUAAAACCAUAAAUAAAUCAAAACUUUCAACAACGGAUCUCUUGGUUCUGGCAUCGAUGAAGAACGCAGCAAAAUGCGAUAAGUAAUGUGAAUUGCAGAAUUCAGUGAAUCAUCGAAUCUUUGAACGCACAUUGCGCCCGCCAGUAUUCUGGCGGGCAUGCCUGUUCGAGCGUCAUUUCAACCCUCAAGCCCCCGGGUUUGGUGUUGGGGAUCGGCGAGCCCUUGCGGCAAGCCGGCCCCGAAAUCUAGUGGCGGUCUCGCUGCAGCUUCCAUUGCGUAGUAGUAAAACCCUCGCAACUGGUACGCGGCGCGGCCAAGCCGUUAAACCCCCAACUUCUGAAUGUUGACCUCGGAUCAGGUAGGAAUACCCGCUGAACCUAAGCAUAUCA